CAUUUCAACCUGCCUUUACUUUUACCCUCUCAUGCUCCCUCACCCCACAAAGCUUUUGUACAUUCUGUGUCUCCUUCCUGGAACAUUUUAACUCCCUCUGCAUCUAGGUCUUUGCCUGAGCUCAGGUUCCCUAAAAAGCCUGGUCCGAGGCAAUGAGUAAAAAUGCUCCCAUUUUGUUUAAGGAAGUGCAAACUCACGGAAAGAAGGUGAUGGAAACAGCAAAGAAGGGAGGGCUGAGAAGCAAUGCAAAGUGAGGUAUACCAUCCUGGCCACAGCUUCCCAAGUUAGGCCCUUUGCCGGGUGCGCCCAUGUGGCCAUGAGGGACAUCUCAGAGGGGCUGCAGAGAUCAGAACCACCCAUCAAAAUGGAGGCCUGCAAGUAAGAGGAGGAACGGGGAGGAGACAGAACACAGAAAUCUUCUGAGUGGCUUUGGUGACAGGUGGGUAGGAGUCAUUACCUGCCAUUUGCAUGUAAGCGUUUUUGUUCCUCUUGUUUAUUGCUCCUAUUUACUCAUGUGUGCCCAGGAUCUUCAAAAUCCAGGUAAGAAACACAGUGAAGAACUCAUUCACUGCAAGUUUGGCCCCAUCCAUCAGUACCAAUGAAGAGAGACAAAUCAAGAUAGAAAGACAUCAUUACCGUCUCUAUUGAUAGUGGUAUUAUGUAGUAAUGAAUAAAAAUAACUCCUUUACACAG